GCAAGUGGGACAAAAUGACUAACCAUCAUGCAACGCACUAGCAACUGCGCAGGUCUCGCUUGUCUCAAACAAGCCUACUGACUAUCAGAAAUGUAACGUUAUCUUUGAGUAAAGAGAGAUUUUGGCCUAGUUUUUAUUUAGAGCUUAACGGCGUGUAAAACACAUGUGAUGACGUCAGCAACGAAUGGACGACUGAAUUAGUUGGCAACUAAUUUGGUAAUCGAUUAGUUGUUGCACCCCUAGUCUAAAUGGUUGUUAAUAGUUUUCUGAUUUAUGUGUAAAUGUGUUUUGUUAUUUGCAGUACUCAAUCUUGGAUGUGGCUGUGGCCCGCCCAGCUCUGUACGCCCGAGGGCUACAGGUCCUCUGGCGCUGUUUUCAGCUGCUGGCGCGGCAGCUCAGGCUCCGCCAUGCGGCGGAACAGAAGGUGGCCACCUUAAAAGGGGAGCUCGGAAACUGGAAACAGAAGGCAGGAGAGGCCCUGCAGCGCCUGGAGGUGCUGUAGGCAACCGCCUUGUUUGCCGAGGAUGACCGGAGUGACACAGGCACCCAGACGGAGAAGGAGGGAUUUUUUUUUAUUGUAUAAAUGUUGUGUUUGAAAAUAAAUGUGUUCAUUUAA